rnacentral:lncRNA from 1 species
UUUGAAUCAGACAACUGUACUCAACACUAGACAGUGUCUAGAUUAGUUCAGCAAAGAAAUAAGCCUGUACUCUGCAUGGCAUCAACUGAGCUUUUAAAGAUUAUGGAUGAGAAAGGGUUUGAAAAAAAAAGUUUGAAAAAUCAAAACUAAAGCUUUAUAGCCACUUCAGAAAGCCUGGAUGUUUAACCUGUAAGGAAGUCUGUCAAAUCCUUGAGGAAACCACAUAGAGAAAGAUCAAUAGAAUACCUACUGGCUCCAUUAGCUUGAUGUAAAAAGGGGAAGAGGGAAACCAGCUCUUCCACAAGAGGAGAUACAUUAUUCCAGGGAUUAAGCGGGAUCAGUUCUCUUGCAGAAAAGAAGACAAGAAAAAGAAUGAAGAUUCUUGGUGGGCCAGAACUGGAGUGAAAGGGCUUGUCAGGGCCACAAAGGUGGUGUCCCUUGGGGUGGCUUCCCCAGAUGUCUGCCCUCACUCAACACCGUGGCAGUUCUUCAAACAUUAG